rnacentral:rRNA from 1 species
CCUACGGGAGGCAGCAGUGGGGAAUAUUGGGCAAUGGGCGCAAGCCUGACCCAGCAACGCCGCGUGAAGGAUGAAGGCUUUCGGGUUGUAAACUUCUUUUCUCAGGGACGAAGCAAGUGACGGUAAAUGAGGAAUAAGCGACGGCUAACUACGCACCAGCAGCCGCAGUACUACGUGGGUGGCAAGCGUUAUCCGGAUAUACUGGGUGUAAAGGGCGUGUAGGCGGGACUGCAAGGCAGAUGUGAAAACCACGGGCUCAACCUGUGGCCUGCAUUUGAAAUUGUAGUUCUUGAGUACUGGAGAGGCAGGUGGAAUUCCUGGUGUAGCGGUGAAAUGCGUAGAGAUUAAGAGGAACACUAGUGGCGAAGGCGAUCUGCUGGACAGCAACUGACGCUGAGGCGCGAAAGCGUGGGGAGCAAACAGGAUUAGAUACCCGAGUAGUC